rnacentral:rRNA from 1 species
UACAGAGGUGGCAAGCGUUGUUCGGAAUUACUGGGCGUAAAGGGCGCGUAGGCGGCCUUCUAAGUCAGACGUGAAAUCCCCCGGCUUAACCUGGGAACUGCGUCUGAUACUGGGAGGCUUGAGUAUGGGAGAGGGAUGUAGAAUUCCAGGUGUAGCGGUGAAAUGCGUAGAUAUCUGGAGGAAUACCGGUGGCGAAGGCGGCAUCCUGGACCAUUACUGACGCUGAGGCGCGAAAGCUAGGGGAGCAAACAGG